rnacentral:sRNA from 1 species
UGGUAGAUGCACCCUGAUAACUAAUUUCCCCUAGCUGGUUAAUACCUACUGGGGGUUUUUUAU